rnacentral:tRNA from 1 species
GGAGGAUUGGCUGAGCGGUUAAAAGCGAUAGUUUCGAAAACUAUUUCUCGACAAAAUCGGGAGCACAGGUUCGAAUCCUGUAUCCUCCG